AUUGAACGCUGGCGGCAGGCCUAACACGUGCAAGUCGAACGGUAACAGGAAGAAGCUUGCUUCUUUGCUGACGAGUGGCGGACGGGUGAGUAAUGUCUGGGAAACUGCCUGAUGGAGGGGGAUAACUACUGGAAACGGUAGCUAAUACCGCAUAACGUCGCAAGACCAAAAAGGGGGACCUUCGGGCCUCUUGCCAUCGGAUGUGCCCAGAUGGGAUUAGCUAGUAGGUGGGGUAACGGCUCACCUAGGCGACGAUCCCUAGCUGGUCUGAGAGGAUGACCAGCCACACUGGAACUGAGACACGGUCCAGACUCCUACGGGAGGCAGCAGUGGGGAAAAUUGCACAAUGGGCGCAAGCCUGAUGCAGCCAUGCCGCGUGUAUGAAGAAGGCCUUCGGGUUGUAAAGUACUUUCAGCGGGGAGGAAGGGAGUAAAGUUAAUACCUUGGCUCAUUGACGUUACCCGCAGAAGAAGCACCGGCUAACUCCGUG
rnacentral:rRNA from 1 species